rnacentral:rRNA from 1 species
AGGAUGAACGCUGGCGGCGUGCUUAAUACAUGCAAGUCGAGCGGUAAGGCCCCUUCGGGGGUACACGAGCGGCGGACGGCUGAGUAACGCGUGGGAACGUACCCCAAAGUGAGGGAUAAGCACCAGAAAUGGUGUCUAAUACCGCAUGUGCUCUAAGGAGUAAAGCUCCGGCGCUUUGGGAACGGCCUGCGUCCGAUUAGCUUGUUGGUGAGGUAAUGGCUCACCAAGGCGACGAUCGGUAGCUGGUCUGAGAGGAUGACCAGCCAGACUGGGACUGAGAACGGCCCAGACUCCUACGGGAGGCAGCAGUAGGGAAUUUUCCACAAUGGGCGAAAGCCUGAUGGAGCAACGCCGCGUGCAGGAUGAAGGCCUUAGGGUUGUAAACUGCUUUUAUGUAUGAAGAUUAUGACGGUAGUACAUGAAAUAAGGAUCGGCUAACGUCCGUGCCAGCAGCCGC